GGGCUCGUAAUGGUUUCGACGGGGAUUUUGAGGUAUGAUAAGCGUGGCGGGCUGAGUAAUCCCGAUAACUGCUCAACUUUAAAAUUAAACGACAACAAUUCUGUUGCUAUGGCUGCCUAAUUGACGCGCCUUAGGGCGCUUCAAUUGGCAGUGCUGUGACCUGCGGGUCACCCGUUCCUCCGCAGAGGACCACGACUGCGGACUGAGCGUCAUCGUAGUGGUGAACUUGCAUCGGUGGUCGCACCUGAACCGAUCAAGCAGAAAGGUGCUACGGACUGCGCGUUGCCUGUCAGUUGGCGGCGCGUAGUGGGAAGAAAUAAAAACUGACUGCCCACGGAGAAGGUCAUAUCAAGAGGUUUUCGGACAGGGGUUCGAUUCCCCUCGGGUCCACCA
rnacentral:tmRNA from 1 species